rnacentral:rRNA from 1 species
GACGAACGCUGGCGGCGUGCCUAAUACAUGCAAGUAGAACGCUGAAGGAGGAGCUUGCUCUUCUGGAUGAGUUGCGAACGGGUGAGUAACGCGUAGGUAACCUGCCUGGUAGCGGGGGAUAACUAUUGGAAACGAUAGCUAAUACCGCAUAAGAGUAGAUGUUGCAUGACAUUUGCUUAAAAGGUGCAAUUGCAUCACUACCAGAUGGACCUGCGUUGUAUUAGCUAGUUGGUGGGGUAACGGCUCACCAAGGCGACGAUACAUAGCCGACCUGGGAGGGUGAUCGGCCACACUAGGACUGAGACACGGCCCAGACUCCUACGGGAGGCAGCAGUAGGGAAUCUUCGGCAAUGGACGGAAGUCUGACCGAGCAACGCCGCGUGAGUGAAGAAGGUUUUCGGAUCGUAAAGCUCUGUUGUAAGAGAAGAACGAGUGUGAGAGUGGAAAGUUCACACUGUGACGGUAUCUUACCAGAAAGGGACGGCUAACUACGUG